rnacentral:rRNA from 1 species
UAACACAUGCAAGUCGAGCGGCAGCGGGAAAGUAGCUUGCUACUUUUGCCGGCGAGCGGCGGACGGGUGAGUAAUGCCUGGGAAAUUGCCCAGUCGAGGGGGAUAACAGUUGGAAACGACUGCUAAUACCGCAUACGCCCUACGGGGGAAAGCAGGGGACCUUCGGGCCUUGCGCGAUUGGAUAUGCCCAGGUGGGAUUAGCUAGUUGGUGAGGUAAUGGCUCACCAAGGCGACGAUCCCUAGCUGGUCUGAGAGGAUGAUCAGCCACACUGGAACUGAGACACGGUCCAGACUCCUACGGGAGGCAGCAGUGGGGAAUAUUGCACAAUGGGGGAAACCCUGAUGCAGCCAUGCCGCGUGUGUGAAGAAGGCCUUCGGGUUGUAAAGCACUUUCAGCGAGGAGGAAAGGUUGAUGCCUAAUACNUAUCAACUGUGACGUUACUCGCAGAAGAAGCACCGGCUAACUCCGUGCCAGCAGCCNCGGNAAUAAAAA